UUAAAAAUAAAAUAAAAAUAAACAUUGACAUCCCGCGUUUGGGGGAAGGAAACACACAAGCGCAUCUUUUAUUUGGUUUUGUACUUGCAAAUUGAAACCUAGCUAUCCCCUUUAUUCAAUUUACACCAUUCUACUACUGCUUCUUCCCGCUCAUCCACUCACCAUUCUUGCUGCUACUACUUCUUCUAGCUCUUCCCCCACUUAUUCACUCACAAUUCUCCCUAAACUCCACAUGCAACGUUCGCCUCAAUUCUCCCAAAACUCCACCGGCAACGUUCGACUUAUCAGCUAUAAAGCUCUCCUUUAAUUACUCAGGAGGAGACGCAGCCAAAGAUGCUUGAACUUCAUCGUUUUUGCUCGAUUACGGAACUGGAACUUCAUAGCAACUGGAACUCCUUUGCUUAAGAUAUGGAACUUCAUCAUUUUAGCGGUUGUUCGAGCCCAUAGAUAUGCAAAUUUUUCUAAAAUUGAAAGUUGAACGACGGCUAAUUUAGCGGUCAGGUGUGGCGUGAGAGGAACAUUAAAUCCUCCUUGUAAUGCAGUUGGGUAUGUUGAUAGAAAAUUUCUAGGGAUUAAUCAUGUGUAUCAACAUCCGGCUUGGAGGAGAUCUAAGGUGAGUGGUGAACAUAAGCAUGCUUUAGAUGGUCUUUAUUAGUCCUAGUGCCCUAUAAAACUCCAUUGAUUGUGUAUCAGAAAUAUCAAUAUAUCAUAAUAUAGUUGCAUCGACAUUUUUAAAAAGAGAUAUUUUAUUGUGCUUGUCGAAAUACUGCGGGCUUGCACAGAAAACUCUCCUUGCAAGGGGCCUCUUCUGGAAAAUGCUCCCUCCUGGUGUCAUGCACCAUUUAAGCCAGAAGGAAUUUUGAGGUUUGUACAUUUGUACUUCGUGUGACUUCGUAUUAAUAGGCUUAUGUUCCUGUUUGUGGUUGAUUACUUAUAGACUAGUAAAUUGUAACUUAAUGAUGGGGGACCUUACAUAAUACUCCGCAUAUGGUACUGCAAAAUCUUGUUUCUAGUACCUUUCUAAACCUGUUGAAUUGCAACAUGCAACUAUGCAAGUCAGCAUAGCUCAGCUUCUAGUAUGAGUAUGAGCUUAUUUCUGGA